UAGGGAAUCUUCCGCAAUGGGCGAAAGCUUGACGGAGCAACGCCGCGUGAGUGAUGAAGGUCUUCGGAUCGUAAAACUCUGUUAUUAGGGAAGAACAAAUGUGUAAGUAACUAUGCACGUCUUGACGGUACCUAAUCAGAAAGCCACGGCUAACUACGUGCCAGCAGCCGCGGUAAUACGUAGGUGGCAAGCGUUAUCCGGAAUUAUUGGGCGUAAAGCGCGCGUAGGCGGUUUUUUAAGUCUGAUGUGAAAGCCCACGGCUCAACCGUGGAGGGUCAUUGGAAACUGGAAAACUUGAGUGCAGAAGAGGAAAGUGGAAUUCCAUGUGUAGCGGUGAAAUGCGCAGAGAUAUGGAGGAACACCAUUGGCGAAGGCGACUUUCUGGUCUGUAACUGACGCUGAUGUGCGAAAGCGUGGGGAUCAAACAGG
rnacentral:rRNA from 1 species